rnacentral:rRNA from 1 species
AACAUCUAAGUACCUGGAGGAAGAGAAAGAAAAAUCGAUUUCCUGAGUAGCGGCGAGCGAAACGGAAAGAGCCCAAACCAAGAAGCUUGCUUCUUGGGGUUGUAGGACACUCUAUACGGAGUUACAAAAGAAAGUUAUAAAUGAAGCGGUCUGGAAAGGCCCGCCAAAGACGGUAACAGCCCGGUAGUUGAAAUGGCUUUCCCUCCAGAGUGGAUCCUGAGUACGGCGGAACACGUGAAAUUCCGUCGGAAUCCGGGAGGACCAUCUCCCAAGGCUAAAUACUCCCUAGUGACCGAUAGUGAACCAGUACCGUGAGGGAAAGGUGAAAAGCACCCCGGAAGGGGAGUGAAACAGUUCCUGAAACCGUGUGCCUACAAGUAGUUAGAGCCCGUUAAUGGGUGAUAGCGUGCCUUUUGUAGAAUGAACCGGCGAGUUACGAUUUGUUGCAAGGUUAAGCGGAAAAAGCGGAGCCGUAGCGAAAGCGAGUCUGAAUAGGGCGCAUAAGUAACAGGUCGUAGACCCGAAACCAGGUGAUCUACCCAUGUCCAGGAUGAAGGUAAGGUAAUACUUACUGGAGGUCCGAACCCACGCACGUUGAAAAGUGCGGGGAUGAGGUGUGGGUAGCGGAGAAAUUCCAAUCGAACUUGGAGAUAGCUGGUUCUCUCCGAAAUAGCUUUAGGGCUAGCCUCGAGGUAAAGAGUCAUGGAGGUAGAGCACUGUUUGGACUAGGGGCCCUUCUCGGGUUACCGAAUUCAGAUAAACUCCGAAUGCCAUGUACUUAUACUCGGGAGUCAGACUGCGAGUGAUAAGAUCCGUAGUCGAAAGGGAAACAGCCCAGACCACCAGUUAAGGUCCCCAAAUAUAUGUUAAGUGGAAAAGGAUGUGGGGUUGCUUAGACAACCAGGAUGUUGGCUUAGAAGCAGCCACCAUUGAAAGAGUGCGUAAUAGCUCACUGGUCGAGUGACCCCGCGCCGAAAAUGUACCGGGGCUAAACAUAUUACC